GUCCAGCCCCUCGCUAGACUCCUGCUUCAUCUGGCAGGAAACAGUUUCAAUUGAGCUUGUUUCAUGGAAGAAAACAAAACGUAGUCUCCAGAAGAUGCACUGUUUUAAGACCCUCAUGUUGUCUUCAUCUACUUAGACCUUAAUCCAUGGUCUCUGUUCCUAGUUCUGUUUCUUUUGCACACACACCCCCCCACACACACAUACCUUCCAUCAGUUUAAAGAGGAUGUGUCUUCUCCUACCUCUUAGAAAAGUCUCUUUUGCCUCCCUCUUGCAAUGUGUUGCUUUUAGACCAGGAAAAUAAA